rnacentral:lncRNA from 10 species
GAGCAUGUGACAUACAUGAGUGGGUAGAGAUGAGAAAACAGUACAGCCGAGUGCCCCUAAGUGUAAAGAUGAAAUGAAAAUCUUCUGUUUGCCUCUACUGUGAAUUUCAGGUCAAAUCUUUCCUUAUUGAAGAUUCACCCAAGAGACAUCAAGAUGACCUCUGGCCAGAGACUGAGUCAUCUUUGCAUGACAUCAACACGACCUGCUUCUGCAGGCCCUUGGGGAACAGAGCAGAAGCUCUAUUCCAGAUCUAAGAUGGCAGCCUGGGAACCCUUUCCAACCAUGUGCAUAUAAGGAUCUUGACACGGAAAUAGAUGGUACAGUUUUCCUCCUUGUAUAAUUCAUUCUGGUUAUCCACACACCUAGAACCGUGAAGUUUAUAAUCUGCUCCUUUCUAACUGCUGCUUAUAGAAAUAUAUUUGCCGAAGUCAAUGAGAGCCAUCGGCAAUAUGAGGAAUUGAGAAGUGAAGCCAGCUGGACUUCCUGGGUAGAGUGGGGACUUGGAGAACUUUUCCGUCUUACAAGAGGUUUGUAAAAUGCACCAAUCAGUGCUCUGUAAAAGUGCACCAAUCAGCGCUCUGUAGCUACUAGAGGUUUGUAAAAUGCGCCAAUCAGUGCUCUGUAAAAACACACCAAUCGGCGCUCAGUAGCUAGCUAGAGGUUUGUAAAAUGGACCAAUCAGCACUCUGUAAAAUGGACCAGUCAGCACUCUGUAAAAUGGACCAAUCAGCAGGACAUGGGCGGGGACAAAUAAGGGAAUAAUAGCUGGCCACCCCAGCCAACAGUGGCAACCCGGUUGGGUCCCCUUCUGCGCU